AUUAGCACCCCUGCUAGCACCCUUCCUAAGGGGUGAGAAGGCAGUUACCACAAUACCCUUUUCCUUGCAGAAGGCUCUAAGUUUCUCUUGUUGCCAUCCAAGGUUGACUUCCACCUAUUAGGAUCCAAAUUAAUUUAAUCAAUAAUUAGUAAAGUGAUUAAUACCAACAAACAUGAAAUCAACUAAAAUAGUUAAAUUAAUUUCAAUAUAUGAUCUUAUAAAUUAUUAAUUACUUGAUUCACAGCAGGAGGGAUGGUUGCAAAGGAUAGCAAUUUUUCAAGCUUCUUGAUUGAGAAGUUGCUGGCUCCAAUGGCUUUCGUGAGACCAAGUUUUUGACAUUCUUCCAAUGAUGUCCACACACCUUUCAUAUCAAAUUCCACAAUCUCUGAUACUUCAAUAGGGUAUUUAACUUCACCUGGUUUAGUAGUAAUUGGCCAAUGGAUCAAAAUGAGGUCUAAGUUUUCUAGUUGAAGAGUCC
rnacentral:lncRNA from 1 species